CCCACUGGAAAUUUUCAUCAUGAGAUGAAGAAAUGUCCCUUCCGAGAACCCUGACAUCAGGUGCUGCAUUGACAUCCGCCAGCUCCAGUUUUAAUGAAAUGUUGGGUUAAUUCCCGCAACGGCGGUAAACCCUUAUCCUUUUUCCCAGGCGUCGGCCGGGAACUCAAAGGAGACUGCCAGUGAUAAACUGGAGGAAGGUGGGGAUGACGUCAAGUCAUCAUGCCCUUACGACCAGGGCUACACCGUGCUACAAUGCGCAUACAAAGAGAAGCGACCUCGCGAGAGCAAGCGGACCUCAUAAAGUGCGUCGUAGUCCGGAUUGGAGUCUGCAACUCGACUCCAUGAAGUCGGAAUCGCAUAGUAAUCGUGGAUCAGAAUGCACCGGUGAAUACGUUCCCGGGCAUUGUACACACCGCCCGUCACACCAUGGGAGUGGGUUGCGAAAGAAGUAGGUAGCUUAACUUCGGGAGGGCGCUUACCACUUUGUGAUUCAUGUGGGUGGUCGUCCGGUCCUCCUGUGGUUCGCGGCCGCUGCGGUCGCCUUGGGGGUCCAGG
rnacentral:rRNA from 1 species